GCCUUACUGCUCUCGUACCUGCUGGAUUGGACUUCGUUUUUUGUAUUGACCUCUUGGAUUCCUCCUUUGUUACUCUAAUCUCUCCUGACUUAUUGCUUUCCAUCUUUAACUAAAGAAACGUUAGGUUUGCAGCCGUCAUCUAAGCCAGUCUGGGACUCGGCAUUAACCUUCUGAGAUUCCGAUUGUGUCCAAAGCCUUGCUGGAGAAUUUGGGAUCUGCUGGGUAAAAAGUAGCAGAACAUCAUCUCUUCUAACUUCAGUUGACCACUGGAGUGAACACUUAGGUCGGGUUUAGAUUUCACGGGACGCCAGUGGACGCUACUGGGCCGGGUUUAGACUUUAUGGUACGCCAGUGGACGCUACUGGGCCAGGUUUAGACUUCACAGGACGCCAGUGGACGCUACUGGGCCGGGUUUAGACUUUAUGGUACGCCAGUGGACGAUACUGGGCCAGGUUUAGACUUCACAGGACACCUGUGGACGCUACUGGGCUGGGUUUAGACUUCACAGGACGCCAGUGAACACUACUGGGCCAGGUUUAGACUU